rnacentral:rRNA from 1 species
AGUGAACGCUGGCGGCGUGCCUAAUACAUGCAAGUCGAACGGAGUGGAGCAAGGGUGAGUAAUGUAUAGAUAAUCUGCUCUACACUAGAGGCAAACAGUUGGAAACGAAUGCUAAUACUCUAUAGUGUAGGUUGAGGCGAUAUUGUAUCAGCUAGUUGGUGAGGUAAUGGCUCCCAAAGGCUAUGACGGCUAACUGGUAUGAGAGGAUAAUCAGUCACAUUCUACCUGAGACACCGGCCGGACUCCUUCGGCAGUCGGCAAUAGUGAAUAUUGCUCACGGGGGGAGACUCUGGAGCAUCAACGCCGCGUAGAAGAUGAUCGUUUUCGGAGCGUAAACUCCUUUUUUUAUGGAAGCGGUACCUAACGAAUAAGCACCGGCUAACUCCGUGCCAGCAGCCGCGGUAAUAC